rnacentral:rRNA from 1 species
AUGAGGAGCUUGCUCUUCAAAUCGAGUGGCGAACGGGUGAGUAACGCGUGAGGAACCUGCCUUUCAGAGGGGGACAACAGUUGGAAACGACUGCUAAUACCGCAUAUGCCAUAACUACCGCAUGGUAGAAGUGGGAAAGGAGCAAUCCGCUGAUAGAUGGCCUUGCGUCUGAUUAGUUAGUUGGUGGGGUAACGGCCUACCAAGGCGACGAUCAGUAGCCGACCUGAGAGGGUGACCGGCCACAUUGGGACUGAGACACGGCCCAAACUCC